GAGUUUGAUCGUGGCUCAGAGUGAACGCUGGCGGCAUGCCUAACACAUGCAAGUCGAACGGUAACAGGCCCGCAAGGGUGCUGACGAGUGGCGGGACGGGUGAGGAAUACAUCGGAAUUUGCCCAGUCGUGGGGGAUAACGUAGGGAAACUUACGCUAAUACCGCAUACGACCGAGAGGUGAAAGCGGGGGAUCUGUAAGGACCUCGCGCGAGUGGAUCAGCCGAUGUCGGAUUAGCUAGUUGGCGGGGUAAAGGCCCACCAAGGCGACGAUCCGUAGCUGGUCUGAGAGGAUGAUCAGCCACACUGGGACUGAGACACGGCCCAGACUCCUACGGGAGGCAGCAGUGGGGAAUAUUGGACAAUGGGGGCAACCCUGAUCCAGCAAUGCCGCGUGUGUGAAGAAGGCC
rnacentral:rRNA from 1 species